UCGACUUAGGUUUAGUGGAGAAAAAAAAAAGGGUUUCGAGGAGAAAACGCAGAUGAGAGCGAUGAUAUAUGUUCUGAUUUAGCUCCAAUAUUCAAUCUUCUCCAACUCCUACUUCAAUUCAAGCUUUUUUCGUCACAUCUACUAAAUUAUUAACCUUCAUCUCAAUUUCCCAUUGAACUUAGGGUUUUCCCAUUGAGUAAUUUAAACAACAAAAAUUGAGCUGAGAAAAAAUGGAUUGAGGAACUGGAAUGCUUCAACUACACAGGUAUAUAUGAACACCAGAUUUCUAAGGGUCGGAUUGAUGUUUGAAUCAACAGUAUCAAAUUGGGGGUUUCGAUUUUUCUUUUCCAGAAAAUGCAGCUGGCUAAAACAACCAAGAAAAAUUUGCUUUGAAUGCGUCGUCAUUGAUCAUGACCCUGAAGAUAACCUAGAUAAGGAUUCUGAAGAUAGGGAUUUGAAAGGAACUAAUAAAGAAAGUAGAAAUUCAACUGUUAUAAGUAGAGUGGAGAAAAGCGAACAAAGAGAGAUUUGGUAUAAAAUUCAAUACAGAGAAGGUAUGGGUGGUAAUAAUGUUCAGACUUCAGAGUAACGUUUCUACCAAUAGGAGGGGUUCAAUUGCUGCUGCUAUUGUGGUUGUAGCUGCAGAGAUCUGGGGAAUCUCUAGGUGGCAUGGUCAGGCAGCUAUCGAUGGAUCAGUUUGACUCCACAGAGCGCCAUAACGGCUAAGAAUCUAUUGGAUAGACAAUUAUAUGUCAUUAUGGUGGCUUGGAAGCCACAAAUGAUGGAAGCAGAUGACUACAUGUUGAAAUUGGCUAGACAUGCAAAGCUAUCAGAUCAUCUUAUGAUAGCGAAAUUCACCAGAUGCACAUGCCGGAUGCUUAUAUGUGGGUUUGUUUGAACUUUGUUGAUUUUUUGCUUUGCAUACACUCUUUCUUACUAAGAAGAAGUGAUGAGAGUGGUAAUACUUGCUUAAUUAGUAUCUCCUUCAAUUCAUUUGCCAUCUGUAAUUUUACUCAAGUCGGUUUUUGUUGUCCAAAUAGUCCUAUUUGGGAUUGUUUGUUUUGAGUUAAUUUUCGAUUACGUCUAACAUUAUUAUUGUUUACUCCAUUUUUCUUAAUUGGCCUGCGUUGAAAAGCAUAUUGAUGUUCAAGGUAUGAAUGUUUGUAUCACUCUUUAUACCAAAUGAUCCGUAUCUAUAGUAAUUGACAUCAAUAUUAACUGCACUAAUUUGCUUUUAUUUUAAGUAAUGUCAGGCCAUUGGGUGUGUGACAGGAUUCACAGGAACAUGGCAGAACAUGAAUGAAUCUUUAGUUUAUGCUAUUUUUCACUUGAACUACAAAAUUAUUGAAUAAAGUGUUGGAUUUUUUUUUGAACGAAAUGGCAGGCGCGGGCGCAUGCGUGCAUAGUGUGUUCUCACAUUUGUGUAAAAGUCCAAAACCGGGAACCUAAAGCAUGCGUACCCGUACGCAUACUGGCGGAAGUUUCACGUUCGUGAAUUUCUGCUGGAGUUUGAAAGUUAAAA